CUUUUUUAAGAUAUAUUUCACUACCUUUUAGAAAACCAUAGUAAGUUUAUAAAAAGUAUUUCAGUAGUUAUAUAAAAAAUGUAACAAACAUACGGUAAUCAACAAUAGCUUUGCACUUUUAGGACAAAAUAUAUGACACAAAUGUAAAUUAUUCAGAGACCUAACUCAAGACUUCGUAUUUGUUAAUGUUUUGAUUAACAAACUUGCACAAAAUGGACUUAUUGAUGACCAAUUAUUUUUUAAUUAGAAAAAAGGAAUCAUCAUAUUGAUUCAUUAUGAUCGUAUGCAAAAGUGAAGCUUUUAGUAUUUGUAUGUAAAUAUUCAUCGAUUAUAGUCUCAAGAGAAACAAAAAGAGUACCAACAUGACUAGACAUAUUGUCAAUUAUGUAAAUUUAUGCUGCUUAUGAAUUGUUUCAUGUCAGAUCAAUUUUAUUCUGUGCUUUGGAAAAUGAAAAAUAUAAUUUAUGAUUAUGAAAUUUACACUCAGAAUAAAACGACUUAAACCAAAAAUAUGACAUUUAAAUAAUAUAUGACUUGAAAGUUAAGUACAUAUAGUUUUAUUUUUAAUUUGGCAAAAUAUAAGUCCACACCAAUGUAAUUAAAACAGGUUUAACUUGUAACUGUUUAACAUUCAGAUGUUUUGACAAUCAAAUACCUACUUAUUUUAUCCCUGCAUAUUUAAAAUUCACUAUUUUUUAAAUAUAGCUGAUAUAUAUUCAGCCGUGCAAUAAGUGGGCCUAAAAUUUGUUCGAUAAUUUUCAAAAUUUCAUCGCAGAAUGUUCAUAUUGUCACCCUACACAAGAAGUAGACUGAAUAAUAGUCAGGGGCACUUAUAAAUUAUGCAACACUUCUAUUUGCCCAAUGGAUUUUGAUUGUUCAAACCGAAGGAUGCGGAUAUUGUGACGCGUGAUAAGCCCAUGAAGUGGGAGUUGUUGCAUAAUUGCAAAUCAGCUUUGGGGUGUGGAUAUUAUCUGGUUGGUAAAAUUCAAUUUUUGAAUUUGAAAUUUUCUACCAUGCACAAGGGGGUUUUGCAACAGCAGAAGUCCCCCCCCCAGGGGAAUUUUUGAAACAUUUGUUUGGGCAAGCCAAUUGGGUUGGAAUUCAAGACCGGCAAAAUUUGAACUCAGGGGCCCUUAUUGUGAUGAGUCACCUUACAAACACCUUAAGAAUUGUGGCCACCGAUGCCUCUCUACCAUCAAACUUAUAAUAAGAUAUUUCAUAAUCUUCAGUGCCCAACAAAAACUUCAUAGACAAGAGGAAAUAACACAGAUCAACCAUCAAGGAAUGCUUCGACCUACAUGCGUUUUGACUCAUCGGGACCUUCGCCACCAAAGGAAACUGAGGACCUGGUACAAUAUUGCAGGCACAAGAAUAUACAAUUAAUCAUUAGAACUGAUGCUAACUCACACAGUGAGGAAUGGAACAGCACAAACACCACAAAAGAGGUGAGAAGCGUUUAGCAUUUGUACUAACUAACAAUUUUAACCAAUAAGUUUUUGAUAUUACAUUCACUACCCGCUGUAUUUCAAACAGUGACGUGCCUAUCAGAAAAGAAAAUCCUGUGAAUCAGCACUACACCCAUUAACAAUACAAAUAGACGAUUCACUAGUCAACCAAGAAAUAGCAUUGCGAAUCUUCUUGGACAAUAUUCCUUUUGAAGCAAUGGUUAUAUCAAACACUGAGGAACAGACAAAACCUGCUGCAGAUGGAUAGAAUCAAUGCUAAAAAAAAGAAAAGUGCAGGGCUCCAUGUUCCACGAAAAAGUAGAAGCAGCAGGGGCGAGAGGGUGUUUGCAAGGAGGAAUUCUCUCUCCUCGGCUGUGCGAUGUGGUGGUGGAUGAUCUCAUAUGCAAACUAAAUGAAAGCGGAAUCUAUGCCCAAGGCUAUGCAGAUAAUACUGGCAUGCUAGUCAGGGGAAAUUUCGACACAACAUUAAAAGAGCUUACCCAAAGUGCACUAAACACGGUGGAACAUGGUGUUCACAAAGGGAACGUAAAGCAAGCCUCUCAAAAACCAUCCUAAUUGCUUUCACCACGAAAAGAAAUAUAAGGAAAGACAAGGUUUACGUUUCUGUUAUGAAAUGCUACAAUUAAAAUAGUUGAAUUUAAGCCGAAGUUAAAUACCUAGGAAUAAUCUUUGUUAAGAAGAUAGCCUGAAACCCACACCUGCAGCAUACUACUGUAAAAAGUAAAAUAUUGGUAAUGACCACAAGAAGAACUCUACGAAAAUCUUGAGGAUUAAAACCGAAAUGGCCUGUUGGCUAUGGCAGUAAUAAGACCCCAAAAUA